rnacentral:rRNA from 1 species
UUCCCUACGGGACGCAGCAGUGGGGGAUAUUGCACAAUGGGGGAAACCCUGAUGCAGCGACGCCGCGUGAGUGAAGAAGUAUUUCGGUACGUAAAGCUCUAUCAGCAGGGAAGAAUAAUGACGGUACCUGACUAAGAAGCCCCGGCUAACUACGUGCCAGCAGCCGCGGUAAUACGUAGGGGGCAAGCGUUAUCCGGAUUUACUGGGUGUAAAGGGAGCGUAGGUGGCAAGGCAAGUCAGAUGUGAAAACCCGGGGCCCAACCCCGGGAGUGCAUUUGAAACUGUCUGGCUAGAGUGCAGGAGAG